GCACCUGAAUCUUUCCCAUUCUUUGCUGCUUCGUGCUAGUGUGGGGACAGAUGGUGCCACAGUAAAGCAGAGGAAAUCCAGACGGGUUGUUUUUCAUUUGUCUUGCGGCCUGUCUCUACAGCUCUGCCACACUU
rnacentral:snoRNA from 12 species